GCCACUCGGCGCCGCGAGCCCUCGCGGUCAGGUGGCAGCGGGGCCAGGCGAUUCCCAGGAUUCAUUCAUUCAUUCAUUCAGCAGAUCACCCGGUAGACAUGAUGAACAUCAAGGCCUUUACGCUGGUCUCUGCUGUGGAGCGGGAGCUGCUCAUGGGCGACAAGGAGCACAUCAACAUAGAGUGCGUGGAGUGCUGUGGCAAGGACCUCUACGUCGGCACCAACGACUGCUUCAUCUACCACUUCCUGCUGGAGGAGAAGACUGUGCCCGCUGGGACCGCCACGUUCACUGCCACCAAACAGCUGCACAGACACCUGGGUUUCAAGAAGCCAGUGAAUGAGCUGCGAGCGGCCUCGGCUCUCAACAGGCUGCUGGUGCUGUGUGACAACUCCAUAACCCUGGCCAACAUGCUGAACCUGGAGCCCGUCCCCUCGGGGGCCCGCAUCAAAGGGGCGUCCACCUUUGCUCUGAACGAGAAUCCCGUGAGCGGGGACCCAUUCUGUGUGGAAGUUUGCAUCAUCUCUGUCAAACGCAGAACCAUCCAGAUGUUUCUGGUGUAUGAGGACCGGGUGCAGAUCGUCAAGGAGGUGUCGACUCCGGAGCAGCCCCUCGCCGUGGCUGUGGAUGGCCACUUCUUGUGCCUGGCUCUGACCACUCAGUACAUCAUCCUGAACUACAGCACGGGGGUCUCCCAGGACCUGUUUCCCUACUGCAGCGAGGAGAAGCGGCCAAUCGUCAAGAGGAUAGGGAGACAGGAGUUCCUGCUGGCGGGCCCUGGAGGGCUGGGCAUGUUUGCCACAGUCGCUGGGAUAUCCCAGCGUGCCCCUGUGCACUGGUCAGAGAACGUGAUUGGGGCGGCCAUUUCCUUUCCGUAUGUCAUAGCGCUCGAUGACGAAUUCAUCACAGUUCACAGCAUGUUGGACCAGCAGCAAAAGCAGACCCUGCCCUUUAAGGAAGGCCACAUCCUACAGGACUUUGAAGGAAGAGUGAUUGUUGCCACAAGUAAAGGAGUUUACAUCUUGGUUCCAUUACCUCUGGAAAAACAAAUACAGGAUCUUCUAGCAAGCCAUAGAGUGGAAGAAGCUUUGGUUUUAGCAAAAGGGGCCCGGAGGAAUAUUCCGAAAGAGAAAUUUCAGGUCAUGUACAGAAGGAUUCUGCAGCAGGCGGGGUUUAUACAGUUUGCACAACUUCAGUUCCUAGAAGCUAAAGAGCUCUUCAGAAGCGGCCAGCUUGACGUCCGGGAGCUGAUCUCUCUCUACCCCUUCCUGUUGCCUACCUCCUCCUCCUUCACCCGGUCCCACCCUCCUCUCCACGAGUACGCAGACCUGAACCAGCUGACCCAGGGGGACCAGGAGAAGAUGGCCAAGUGCAAGCGAUUCCUCAUGAGCUACCUGAAUGAAGUCCGCAGCACAGAGGGUGCAAACGGCUACAAAGAGGACAUCGACACAGCCUUGCUCAAGCUGUACGCGGAGGCCAACCAUGACAGCCUGCUGGACCUCCUAGUCACCGAGAACUUCUGUCUUCUGACGGACAGCGCCGUGUGGCUGGAGAAGCACAAAAAGUACUUUGCACUGGGACUGCUCUAUCAUUACAAUCACCAAGAUGCUGCUGCAGUUCAGUUGUGGGUGAACAUUGUGAAUGGGGACAUCCAGGACUCCACGCGCUCAGACGUGUACGAAUACGUCGUCGACUUCCUCGCCUGCUGCGUAGACCGGGAGCUGGUGUGGGCCCACGCGGACUGGGUCCUGCAGAAGAGCGAGGAGAUUGGAGUUCAAGUUUUUACCAGGAGACCUUUGGAAGAACAGCAGAAUAGUUUUAAGCCAGACGAUAUCAUCAAUUGCCUUAAAAAAUACCCUAAAGCCCUUGUUAAAUAUCUGGAACAUCUCGUUAUAGACAAGAGACUACAGAAGGAAGAGUACCACACACACCUGGCUCUCCUCUACCUGGAAGAGGUGCUGCAGCAGAGGGCCCCCGCCGGCAGCAAGGGUACAGAAGCUACCGAGACGCAGACCAAACUGCGGCGUCUGCUCCAGAAGUCCGAUUUGUACCGAGUCCACUUUCUGAUAGAGAGGAUCCAGGGCGCCGGGCUGCCCAUGGAGAGCGCCAUCCUCCACGGGAAGCUGGGCGAGCACGAGAAGGCCCUGCACAUCCUGGUGCACGAGCUGAAGGACUUCUCGGCAGCCGAGGACUACUGCCUGUGGUGCUCCGAGGGCCAGGACCUGCCCCACCGCCAGCGCCUCUUCCACACACUGCUCGCCAUUUACCUCCACGCGGGACCCUCUGCCCACGAGCUGACGGUGGCUGCCGUGGACCUGCUGAACCGCCACGCCACGGAAUUCGACGCGGCCCGGGUGCUGCAGCUGCUGCCUGACACGUGGUCAGUGCAGCUUCUUUGCCCGUUCCUGACGGGGGCCGUGAGGGACAGCAUGCAUGCCAGGAGGACCAUGCAGGUGGCCGUUGGCCUGGCCAGGUCAGAAAACUUAAUCUACACCUACGAUAAGAUGAAGUUGAAGGGAAGCUCCGUUCGGCUCUCCGACAAAAAGCUUUGCCAGAUGUGCCAAAAUCCCUUUUGUGAGCCUGUGUUUGUUAGAUAUCCAAACGGUGGUCUUGUGCACACCCACUGUGCUGCCAGCAGACACACGAACCCCAGCUCACCCAGCCCUGGCACUCGGACUUGACACGCUUGGCCCAAGGGCACGAGGGGACUCCGACAUCGCAUUCGUUACCAGCCUGCCGGAUGCAAAGAGCAGACAGCCAGGCCCUGUGUCAGCCAGGACGAGGGGAAGACAUCUGGGUGCUGCGUGCCGGGGAGACUUUAGUCCAUGGGAAACAAGGACUCCUCACUUCUGACUGCUCUCUGUGAAUGAACUAACAAUAAAGACGCUGUCCCCCCAAUCAUAAUGCCUGGAGACGAGUGUUAGCUUGUACGCAUGACAAAGAGAGGACCCUGGAAUACACCUUCUCUUCAUCAGCCCAAGCCUUCAUGAGCUGGGAUGAGGAGCUCAUUCUCCAUCCUUUAAAAAAUGUUUCCUGUACUAAUAAUGGUUAGUGUAUUUUUUGUUUGUUUGUUUUAUGAUUCUAAUUGGGCCAAGAAGCAAAAGCACCCAUGUAUUGUUUUGGGGGUGGGGGGGUGGAAUUGGCACCAUUUUUUCCUAUUAAAUGUUUCAAUUAUCUAAAGAGUAAAUGAUGAAGAAAUUCUCCUUGUAGCUCAACUGUAUGCUAUAUUGGUAUGCGCUCAAAGCCUGGUCAUGAGUUUUGCCCUGUGGGUGACUCUUGUUACGGGAUGGUUAUAUUAUUGCAUAUAUUAUCAUUACAACUUGUGAGUUUGAGUUUAUAUUUCUCAAAGAAUCAGUUACCCAUAUAUGCAACAUUGCACUCUUAAAAGCACUGUUUUCUCUGUACAAAAUAGGUAAAGUCUUGAAAAAACCGAGCGAUUGCUCAUUCCUAACUUGGGGACACUUGUCUCUUUUUUCUCUGAAUGUUGAUCAAUAUUUUGGAACGUUUGUCAUCCUUUAGAAUAAUGGGGAUUAAAGUUGAGCAGUUUUCCAUCUCUACCAAAUCCUGUAACACAAACAGAAUUCUAUGACGAUGUGCAGAAUUGUCUGGUAUGUUAAACACCGUACCUUUGUCUAACCUUUCUCACUCCUACAAGGCCCUUUUCUCAAAUCAUAUUUGUAAGAGAAAUAUAUGGUUCUUUCUAACAGGCCUGCUGAUUUGUGACUGUGCCGUUGAAUAGAGCAAUUAGAACCAUCACUCAGCCCUUUCCCCCUCAUUAGGUUCAGUGUAACCAUUCUAGUUAAAACACAGCAUGAAUUGAAUUCAGUUUACAUUAAUUUUCUAUGGGCAAUCCCAUUUGGUUUUAUGAACUGUUUAUCUGCUGUUGCCUAUCAAGGAUUAAUGUAGGAGUGUCCUGUGGGCUGGGGUGUGUGGCUUCUGCCCAUGGGCUUGCUAACGUGUGCUCGCUCACCUCGGGAGCGUGGGCAGGGGGCCACGGGUGGCACGGCUCAGUGGACACCUGUUACAUGCCCAGGGUGGCUCUUGCUUUUUGCUUUCUCUCCCAUAGAAACCUUUGUCCUUGCAACUUUAUCCUUCACUCCUGAUUGGGUCCCAGAUACACAAGAUGUACAAAUGUAAAACUUACUGAUUUUAUUAAAAUUCUUUUAGUUCUUUGUU